GAGCGCGCCUUCGGGUGAGCGGCGGACGGGUUAGUAACGCGUGGGAACGUGCCCUUCUCUACGGAAUAGCCUCUGGAAACGGAGAGUAAUACCGUAUACGCCCUUUGGGGGAAAGAUUUAUCGGAGAAGGAUCGGCCCGCGUUAGAUUAGGUAGUUGGUGGGGUAACGGCCUACCAAGCCUACGAUCUAUAGCUGGUUUUAGAGGAUGAUCAGCAACACUGGGACUGAGACACGGCCCAGACUCCUACGGGAGGCAGCAGUGGGGAAUCUUAGACAAUGGGGGCAACCCUGAUCUAGCCAUGCCGCGUGAGUGAUGAAGGCCUUAGGGUCGUAAAGCUCUUU
rnacentral:rRNA from 1 species